rnacentral:rRNA from 1 species
GACGAACCUUGCAAACGUUAUUCGGAAUCACUGGGCUUAAAGGGUGCGUAGGCUGUGCAGAAAGUUGGGUGUGAAAUACCUCGGCUUAACCGAGGAAUUGCGCCCAAAACUACAGUGCUCGAGGAAGAUAGAGGUGAGCGGAACUUAGGGUGGAGCGGUGAAAUGCGUUGAUAUCCUAAGGAACACCGGUGGCGAAAGCGGCUCACUGGAUCUUAUCUGACGCUGAGGCACGAAAGCCAGGGUAGCAAACGGG